GAGGUCAUAUUCUGAGCAAGUAUACAGCUCUCUCCUUUCUAAAAAGGUUUAAACUCUUAUUUGCAUGCGAAAUUGGUUGCAUGGCUUUAUUCCAAAUGAUAAUUUUUUUCAUGUUCUUUGGAUUUAUUUUAAUGUCUUGACUAAUGAUUGAUUUUCAAUGGACUUGAUUGUCUAAUUCUUUUAUUAUUGUGAAUUUUAGAUGAAGAAGAUAGCCUUGAGACAUGUGUGUCGAAGGCAGAUUCAAAUGUUGUGCAAC
rnacentral:lncRNA from 1 species